GACUCUACCUUCAUAACAAGGCAAGAUAUUACCAUAGCGCAAAAGAAGGAUCCAAUCUUGAAAACUACGAGAAUAGAUUGACAAAGGAGUGAGGCCGGAAUGGCAAGAGAUUUUCAAGCCAGGCGAGAACUGAAGCUUCUAAUAGGCGUGAUGUAUGGCAGCCCAUCCGAUGAAUCUCCCCUUUGUUAUAGAGUAUGUAAAUGGCCUGUAGGAGACUGGAAAUUGUCCACAAAUUUGCCAGAUUCAAAUCACGGCUUUAUAGCGACAGAUUGAAGAUAAGAUUUGAUAAAAAGUCGAAGUUGUUGAACUUCAAGGAGGGCGACGCAGUGUGGCUUUACCAACCCUAUAGUCGGAAAGAUUUGUGUCCAAAAUUUCAGAGACCAUCACAUGGACUUUACUUGGUAACCAAAAAUAUGAACGAUAUGGUGCACAGAAUACAAUUGUCACCCAAAAGCAAGCCCAAAGUUGUCCACAUAGAGCAACUGAGUCCUUACACGAGUCGUGUGGGUUGAACAACCUCAGGAAAGGUGGUAGUGCUGUGAAUUACCGCCUGAAAAAAAUUACGCAGGCCACCGCUGUUUUUUGAUACUUCUAGGUGCCGCGUCGCUUCAAAAAUAUUCCUGUCUGCUUCCGAAGACUUCCAUUGGGGAUUAGAAGCAAUACCUACAGGCCGAUGGAGUUAGUCUAGUAGAAAGUGCGGCUCAAAGUGACCUAAUAAGGCGAUAUACAUUCAAGUAUUUAAUCUAAAAUCAGCUAGACUUUUUGUGUUGUUUUGGCAGUAUAGUUGUGAAAUAAAGUCGAGUUUAACUGUACAGCGUAUUCAAUUAUUAUCGAACCUGGGUGGAAAACGUAACGACAAUGUUUCUAUAAAGGACAGAUUUCUAGGGUUGAUAAGAGUAAAAAAAGACUUCCAAGAACUAAUUUGAUGCUAUCAUUUAACUUUUGAAAGACAAUAAUAUGCCCAUAGAUACAAUGCCUGAUAAUGCAUCUGUAAUGAUGGGAAAUGAAACAGGUGUACAAUCCAAAUUAAGAGAAGUCAACCCGACAGUAAUAGUUAUUGGUUUCAUAUGUCCAUUCUCCACAACUGUGUGCAUCAGCAGCAGCCUUAAAAUUACCCAAGUAGGUUGAGGCAUGUUAUGAAUCACUUCUCAAAUAGUUGAAAAAAAAUUGAAAGUCUCAAUGAACAUCAAGAAUUUAUCAAUAUAAAACUUUUGAAGCUAUUGAAAGUAAGCCCAAAGUGAUUGUUUCAGGUAAUAACUCAGCUCUCGACCUGAAGGUCAACCGGGCAGAUAUUUUUCUCACGACGAAGAUUCAUCUAGUCUCUAGUCGAUUGCAGAUUGACACUGCCACAUUCACGUGGCUGACAGGACUUUGAAUAGUCAUAAGGCUGCUAUUGACUCUUUCAGUCAUGGGAUGGACUCCUUACUAUAUUUCAAUGCUGUGUUCACAGAAAAUUUGAGAAUAACGUUACAAAUAUUGGAAAACCUGGAAACCCCUAUUCAUUUGUAUUUUCUUCCUUUGUUCUAGGGUUUGUAAUUACACUGAACAAAGGGUUUCAAAAUGAAACACACAAAGUGACCGACUGACAGAGUUAUAUAGAACUUUCUUGCACAAUUUUAUAAAAAAAAAUACUAGGUAAAUGUUGAAAAUCCACAUGGUUUUAACAAAAUUGAAGCUAUGUAUUUUAGAGCAAAGGUGGAACAAAAUAUAUAGAAGUCCUUAAGACAGAAUUGAACUAGUGAAAUUUAGAACCAAUGCUCUGAACUUUCACAUAGAAUUAUUCAAAAAAAUCAAUAAAAACGAAUUGAAUGAUCUUCUGUUGCUAUAUAUUGGAAAAAUCCCCAAAUAGAUUAUAUACAGUGAACAUCUUUCCAUAACAUUCUUUCUCAAUUAUUUCCUCAUGUGGAUGUUUAAAAUUUUAAUGCUGAGUAUCCUUUGAUAAGUUCAGUAGCAGAACUUUGAACAAUUUUGGAGUUGUGUCAUAGAAUUGAAAAACAGUUUGGAUGAAAUGAUGUUUCCCAAUUUGUUUCGAGUAAUUAAGGCAAUAAUCACAGUUCCUCAUUUUUCGGCAACAGCUAAAGAAUAUUUUCCCAACUGACAGUGAUCAAGUCCAAACUUGGUGUAGAGUACGUUUAAAUUUUAAUUUUUUUGUUAAUUAUGACAUUUAUUUUUUAUGAAUACAGUAUUGAUGACUUGUA